UACGUAGGGUGCGAGCGUUGUCCGGAAUUACUGGGCGUAAAGAGCUCGUAGGUGGUUUGUCGCGUUGUUCGUGAAAACUCACAGCUUAACUGUGGGCGUGCGGGCGAUACGGGCAGACUGGAGUACUGCAGGGGAGACUGGGAAUUCCUGGUGUAGCGGUGGAAUGCGCAGAUAUCAGGAGGAACACCGGUGGCGAAGGCGGGUCUCUGGGCAGUAACUGACGCUGAGGAGCGAAAGCCGUGGGGGAGCGAA
rnacentral:rRNA from 1 species